GACGAACGCUGGCGGCGUGCCUAAUACAUGCAAGUCGAGCGGAUCUUAAAGGAAGCUUGCUUCCGAUAAGGUUAGCGGCGGACGGGUGAGUAACACGUAGGCAACCUGCCUGCAAGCCCGGGAUAACAUUCGGAAACGGAUGCUAAGACCGGAUAUGCAGCUUAGUCGCAUGACGAAGCUGGGAAAGACGGAGCAAUCUGUCGCUUGGAGAUGGGCCUGCGGCGCAUUAGCUAGUUGGUGAGGUAACGGCCCACCAAGGCGACGAUGCGUAGCCGACCUGAGAGGGUGAACGGCCACACUGGGACUGAGACACGGCCCAGACUCCUACGGGAGGCAGCAGUAGGGAAUCUUCCACAAUGGACGCAAGUCUGAUGGAGCAACGCCGCGUGAGUGAGGAAGGCUUUCGGGUCGUAAAGCUCUGUUGCCAGGGAAGAACGCAUGGGAGAGUAACUGCUCCCAUGGUGACGGUACCUGAGAAGAAAGCCCCGGCUAACUACGUGCCAGCAGCCGCGGUAAUACGUAGGGGGCAAGCGUUGUCCGGAAUUAUUGGGCGUAAAGCGCGCGCAGGCGGUUUCUUAAGUCUGGUGUCUAAGUGCGGGGCUCAACCCCGUGAUGCACCGGAAACUGGGAGACUUGAGUGCAGAAGAGGAGAGCGGAAUUCCACGUGUAGCGGUGAAAUGCGUAGAGAUGUGGAGGAACACCAGUGGCGAAGGCGGCUCUCUGGACUGUAACUGACGCUGAGGCGCGAAAGCGUGGGGAGCAAACAGGAUUAGAUACCCUGGUAGUCCACGCCGUAAACGAUGAGUGCUAGGUGUCGGGGGGGUCCACCCCUCGGUGCCGAAGUUAACACAUUAAGCACUCCGCCUGGGGAGUACGGUCGCAAGACUG
rnacentral:rRNA from 1 species